GGUGGUAUCUGCUCCACAUGCCCUACAGAACAUGGUUUGCUGGCCACCUGACUGUUAGCUUACCAGUGUUCAUAUGACCCACUAUCCGACUCUGUUGACACUGUCCAGGCCACCAGGAAGCCAGGGCAGUGGCCUUGAGAGUUGCCCCAGUGAUGGUGGUCCAAGGCCUAAGAUCACCAGGACCCAAGCUCUUGUACUCUGUUGAAGAUCUGGCAUUCAUCUCAAGAGACCCCAACAACCUCUUUGAUCCAGAAAAAGAACUCUGGUAUGUACCAUCAGGAAAGAUGAUUCUACCACAAGAACAAGUGUUGACAAUGAUAAGACAAAUGCAUCAAUGACCCUACCUAAGGAUAUCAAGUUAACUCAAACUGCCUUAAGACCUAAGUAUUAUGUUCCAGGACUGAAACAACCUGGUGGAACAAAUAGUUUACAGUUGUGUUCCCUGCCAAAAAGUAAAUGGUUGCAGAAGCAAAGCUGACCCCAGUAAGAGACCUCAGGGAGAUAAUCCAGGAGCCUACUGGGAAGUGGAUUUCACCGAGAUAAAACCAGUCAAGAAUUUUAAUCUGAAAUAUUCACAGAAGUGUGCCAUGAAAUUGAAAAUAUUUCAUCACUGAGUGACAUAUUUCUCCAAUGGAAGGCUAUACAAGCCAGAGGAGUUGACAGGAACAGAAGCAAAUUACAAAUAAAAUUACUGAGAACAUAGUACCUAGAAGCCACAACUGUUGUCAUUUGGUUUCCUGUGAUGCCUGUGGCCAUGGCUAUCGCAGACCUCCUGUAAGGCCUUCAGACUCUGGUGUCUUCAGAG
ensembl:lincRNA 1700022A22Rik RIKEN cDNA 1700022A22 gene